AGUCUCCUAGAAUCAAGUCACUUCCUCGGUUUUCUUACAAAGCAUUUAUUCUAUGAGGAAUUGGAUGUUUUGAAUUGUGGGAAUUGCGGAUUUGGGGAAAGGAAGCAAAGUCCGAAAGUCCGAAAGCAAAGUCACUUCGUUGGUUUUGUGAUGAAUGCUACGUGAAAAGUCAAGUUUGGUGCUGAUGUUAAUUACGAGGGUCGUUUGGUUGGAAAGAAGUUAUCCUAUUCGGAAUUGGUUAUUCCACCUUUCUAUGGGAUAAAAAAUACUAUAAUUCGGAUUAAUUAUACCGCAAUUUUCUAACAAUCAAAUAUUGCAUAAAUUUAAUUCCGUGAUUAAUUAUUCUUUAUCCCUGGUACCAAACGAGCCCUAAAUUGGAGUAGAAGUGUUUAAUUGAGGUAAGGGUAUAACUGUACUUUAAUACUUGGAGUUAAGCCCGCCUAUCUUAUAAAGCCCAUUUGCUCUGGAACUUUCACCUAUCUUUAAGUUUUCCUUUUCACUCCAUUCUUGUUAGAUUAGGGCUAAAUUUUAGCCUAAUCCUUUCUUUUGGGGUGAGCUGGACUUUGAAAGCUAUCCAAAAGGGGUGGAUGUGAAGGCAAGUUUCUGAAAGUACUGGACAUAGUGGACCCACUAUAUUGGAUAAAGAGCACUCUCCAAUUGAUGCCUGAAGCCUAUACUCUAUGUCGCCAAUAUGUCCAGCACCUCUUUGCCGCCAAUUUUGGAAAGCUGAGAACUACAAUGGCGGGUUUUUUUCCAAGUCUUCCCCUAGAAGUAUUAUUCUUUCAAUACUAGAUCUCUGUCUUUGUCUAAAUACAUAUGCUUUGGUGACUUUAAGGAUUCUGUUCCUGAUAAGUUAGACAAUGAUUGCCCAUGUUUUAAACUAUUUGAAGUGAUACCUUCACGUAUUAUCUUCCUUUUUCCUUCCAGUUAAAACAUGUAUGUAUGGCUUCAUGUCACUUCACCAGCAGAUUCCUGGUCACGUAUACACUUAUAUCUCCAUCUACUGUUAUCUAACUUUGUGGUCUCUUUUGGUAGAUGGGGCCAGUUUCCUGCAUAUACACCCCAAGUUCCUUCACUCGAAUGCCACUUCACAUAAGUGGGCAUUUGGAGUUAUGUGUUCUUGUCAGUGCCUCAGCUUCCAAGGGUCGAAUAAUUGCUGACUUCACUUGCUUUCCUUGUGUUCUGUUUUGUAGCCAUAGCUGAACUGGUUGACAACGCUUUUGAGUGAGGACCGCAGUACGGGACAGACGAUUGGAACAUGACUUGAAUCAGAAGGCCUUUACUACCUUAAUUCACUUGAUUCUUCCCAAGCAUGUCUAGUUACAAAUCCUCUGGACCUAAUUCACAGACGUUUAAGACAUCCAAGCUUAUCCAAGCUUCAGAAGAUGGUGCCUAGUUUGUCUAGUUUAUCUACAUUAGAGUGUGAGUCAUGUCAGCUCGGGAAACAUAUUCGAGCCUCAUUUCGUCGUAGUUGAGAGUCAUGCAGAGUCUGUUUUUCUUUAGUUUAUUCUGAUAUAUAGGGUCCUAGUAGAGUCAGUUCAAC